CAUGCCAGUUUCCUGUGGUAUCAGCCAUGGCUAUGCCUACAGCAGUGGGGUUGAGGAGGAGUCCCCAUCUCCAUGCCUGGGUCUGAGCACUCAUACUAGGUUGGCCCCUGGGAUGAAAUCACACUUGCAAAGCCUUGUAGAGCCAAGCACAGUGCCCACAUCUUUGCUGGAGGCAGUGCAGUCACUCAGAGUCCACAGGUGGUGAGCUCUUGGGCACAGGAAAGUAUGUGUUCUGGUUUCCUUUGUCCCAGUGGGUGCUCCCUUGGCGUGCAAUACUUGUU
rnacentral:lncRNA from 10 species